GAUGAACGCUAGCUACAGGCUUAACACAUGCAAGUCGAGGGGCAGCAUGGUCUUAGCUUGCUAAGGCCGAUGGCGACCGGCGCACGGGUGAGUAACACGUAUCCAACCUGCCGUCUACUCUUGGAUAGCCUUCUGAAAGGAAGAUUAAUACAAGAUGGCAUCAUGUGUCCGCAUGUUCACAUGAUUAAAGGUAUUCCGGUAGACGAUGGGGAUGCGUUCCAUUAGAUAGUAGGCGGGGUAACGGCCCACCUAGUCUUCGAUGGAUAGGGGUUCUGAGAGGAAGGUCCCCCACAUUGGAACUGAGACACGGUCCAAACUCCUACGGGAGGCAGCAGUGAGGAAUAUUGGUCAAUGGGCGAGAGCCUGAACCAGCCAAGUAGCGUGAAGGAUGACUGCCCUAUGGGUUGUAAACUUCUUUUAUAAAGGAAUAAAGUCGGGUAUGGAUACCCGUUUGCAUGUACUUUAUGAAUAAGGAUCGGCUAACUCCGUGCCAGCAGCCGCGGUAAUACGGAGGAUCCGAGCGUUAUCCGGAUUUAUUGGGUUUAAAGGGAGCGUAGAUGGAUGUUUAAGUCAGUUGUGAAAGUUUGCGGCUCAAACCGUAAAAUUGCAGUUGAUACUGGAUAUCUUGAGUGCAGUUGAGGCAGGCGGAAUUCGUGGUGUAGCGGUGAAAUGCUUAGAUAUCACGAAGAACUCCGAUUGCGAAGGCAGCCUGCUAAGCUGCAACUGACAUUGAGGCUCGAAAGUGUGGGUAUCAAACAGGAUUAGAUACCCUGGUAGUCCACACGGUAAACGAUGAAUACUCGCUGUUUGCGAUAUACGGCAAGCGGCCAAGCGAAAGCGUUAAGUAUUCCACCUGGGGAGUACGCCGGCAACGGUGAAACUCAAAGGAAUUGACGGGGGCCCGCACAAGCGGAGGAACAUGUGGUUUAAUUCGAUGAUACGCGAGGAACCUUACCCGGGCUUAAAUUGCAGAUGAAUUACGGUGAAAGCCGUAAGCCGCAAGGCAUCUGUGAAGGUGCUGCAUGGUUGUCGUCAGCUCGUGCCGUGAGGUGUCGGCUUAAGUGCCAUAACGAGCGCAACCCUUGUUGUCAGUUACUAACAGGUCAUGCUGAGGACUCUGACAAGACUGCCAUCGUAAGAUGUGAGGAAGGUGGGGAUGACGUCAAAUCAGCACGGCCCUUACGUCCGGGGCUACACACGUGUUACAAUGGGGGGUACAGAGGGCCGCUACCACGCGAGUGGAUGCCAAUCCCCAAAACCUCUCUCAGUUCGGACUGGAGUCUGCAACCCGACUCCACGAAGCUGGAUUCGCUAGUAAUCGCGCAUCAGCCACGGCGCGGUGAAUACGUUCCCGGGCCU
rnacentral:rRNA from 1 species